rnacentral:rRNA from 1 species
UACGUAGGUGGCGAGCGUUGUCCGGAUUUACUGGGCGUAAAGAGCGCGCAGGCGGCUGGUCAAGUCCGAUGUGAAAGCUCCCGGCUUAACUGGGAAAUUGCAUCGGAAACUGAUCGGCUGGAAGGUGGGAGAGGGUAGCGGAAUUCCCGGUGUAGUGGUGAAAUGCGUAGAGAUCAGGAAGAACACCCGUGGCGCAAGCGGCCACCUGGCCAAGAGCUGACGCUGAGGCACGAAAGCGUGGGGAGCGAACAGG